GAUGAAGAACGUAGCGAAAUGCGAUAAGUAAUGUGAAUUGCAGAAUUCAGUGAAUCAUCGAAUCUUUGAACGCACAUUGCGCCCCCUGGUAUUCCGGGGGGCAUGCCUGUCCGAGCGUCAUUACAACCCUCAAGCUCAGCUUGGUGUUGGGCCCCGCCGCCCCGGCGGGCCCUAAAGUCAGUGGCGGUGCCGUCCGGCUCCGAGCGUAGUAAUUCUUCUCGCUCUGGAGGUCCGGUCGUGUGCUCGCCAGCAACCCCCAAUUUUUUUCAGGUUGACCUCGGAUCAGGUAGGGAUACCCGCUGAACUUAAGCAUAUCAUAAGCGAGGA
rnacentral:misc_RNA from 1 species